CCCAUCAGCACAGAAAACUGUGCUGCCGCUAUGUCUGAGCAGUCCAAGGAAGCCAGAGAUGCCCAUCGCGCUUUGUUACGCCGGGGUACUACAACUGCCCUGCUAACAGCGCUGUGGUUACCUGCCCGCUGUCCCUCUGUGCCAGGUGAUAAAGGCCCAGAUCCCUGCAGAAACCUGGAGAGGGGGAGAGAGGACUCUAAGCUCAGCACCAGGCGAAGCGCUGGCUGCCUGGCACAGCACCCGUCCCACACCCUGCUCGACCUGUCCUUGGGGACGGGAGCCGCCCACCCGCAGUGGCCCUGGGGUUAGGAACCGGGCAUAAAUUCUUGCAGCCUGCCACUCAGUCUGAUGUCUGAAUUGCUGCGUCAUCCUUCUGCCUUUGAGAAAGUCAAACUAGUCCCAGUCGUGAAGCAGUCUGUGCUGCGCUGGGGACGAUUUGUUCAGAGCAGACAGGUCCCUGUGAUUAGAAAUGAGCUCGGUUUGGCAGGAAGCACGGAGGAAGGCUGGCAGACAGGCAGCGUGUCCCUUGCAUGCAAGAUUCCUCCAGAAGUAAAGAAGCACUGGUGGAGACAGUGCAACCCCUGGCAAGAAGCAGCAACGCUGUGCGACAAAGGAGGAAGCCACUUCCAGGUUAUGAAAACAUGCUGUUGAA
rnacentral:lncRNA from 1 species